GUCCGAGUGGAGCUGCGGGACAGCCCGAACCUCCAGGUCAGCCCCGCGGCCCUCCAUGGCGCUGGUGCGCGCACUCGUCUGCUGCCUGCUGACUGCCUGGCACUGCCGCUCCGGCCUCGGGCUGCCCGUGGCGCCCGCAGGCGGCAGGAAUCCUCCUCCGGCGAUAGGACAGUUUUGGCAUGUGACUGACUUACACUUAGACCCUACUUACCACAUCACAGAUGACCACACAAAAGUGUGUGCUUCAUCUAAAGGUGCAAAUGCCUCCAACCCUGGCACUUUUGGAGAUGUUCUGUGUGAUUCUCCAUAUCAACUUAUUUUGUCAGCAUUUGAUUUUAUUAAAAAUUCUGGACAAGAAGCAUCUUUCAUGAUAUGGACAGGGGAUAGCCCACCUCAUGUUCCUGUACCUGAACUCUCAACAGACACUGUUAUAAAUGUGAUCACUAAUAUGACAACCACCAUCCAGAGUCUCUUUCCAAAUCUCCAGGUUUUCCCUGCACUGGGUAAUCAUGACUAUUGGCCACAGGUAAAUUUGAUAGACUUUCAGAAAUGCUUAAAGAAUUUUUCCUAUUAGUAGUGUCAAAAUUGUGACAAUAACUAGCUAGUGAUAGGGCAUGGGAAUGGGUCUUAUAGAGGGAGAAUAUGGUCUUAAUCCUAACCAUCAAGAAAGGCAAAGACAAGUACUUUGGGGACUGUAAAAGUAAUCUUUUAAUACUUCAUGAGAAGUUGUAUCAAUAGUGAGUUUUCAGAAUAAAAUUAUCCAGUUUGUGGAUUAUUAAUUUAUGUUUUCCUUCAUAAUCUUCUUCAAUUUCUCUUUUCUUUUGAGUAAUGUUCUGGUUCAUUUGCAUGUCCAUGACAAGGUGAGCAAGUAAGGUUAAUAUUGAUAAAUAUUUACUUUUUCCA
rnacentral:sRNA from 1 species